GACGUAGGUGGCAAGCGUUGUCCGGAGUUAUUGGGCGUAAAGCGCGCGCAGGCGGUUCGGUAAGUCCAUGGUGAAAGCGCCCGGCUCAACUGGGCGAGUGCCGUGGGGACUGCCGAGCUGGAGGGGAAGCAGGAGGCGAGUGGAAUUCCGGGUGUAGUGGUGAAAUGCGUAGAGAUCCGGAGGAACACCAGUGGCGAAGGCGGCUCGC
rnacentral:rRNA from 1 species